CCUACGGGCGGCAGCAGUGAGGAAUAUUGGACAAUGGACGGAAGUCUGAACCAGCCACGCCGCGUGCAGGAAGACGGCUCUAUGAGUUGUAAACUGCUUUUGUACAAGGGUAAAUCUGAAUACGUGUAUUCAGCUGAAAGUAUUGUACGAAUAAGGAUCGGCUAACUCCGUGCCAGCAGCCGCGGUAAUACGGAGGGUGCAAGCGUUAUCCGGAUUUAUUGGGUUGAAAGGGUGCGUAGGCGGAUUGAUAAGCUUGAGGUGAAAUGUCCGGGCUUAACUCGGGAACUGCUUUGGAUACUGUUGAUCGAGAGUGUAGGUGCGGUAGGCGGAAUGUAUGGUGUAGCGGUGAAAUGCUUAGAGAUCA
rnacentral:rRNA from 1 species